GUCGAACGGAAAGGCCUCUUCGGAGGUACUCGAGUGGCGAACGGGUGAGUAACACGUGGGCAAUCUGCCCUGCACUUCGGGAUAAGCCUGGGAAACUGGGUCUAAUACCGGAUAGGACCUCAAGACGCAUGUCUUCUGGUGGAAAGCUUUUGCGGUGUGGGAUGGGCCCGCGGCCUAUCAGCUUGUUGGUGGGGUGACGGCCUACCAAGGCGACGACGGGUAGCCGGCCUGAGAGGGUGUCCGGCCACACUGGGACUGAGAUACGGCCCAGACUCCUACGGGAGGCAGCAGUGGGGAAUAUUGCACAAUGGGCGCAAGCCUGAUGCAGCGACGCCGCGUGGGGGAUGACGGCCUUCGGGUUGUAAACCUCUUUCACCAUCGACGAAGGUCCGGGUUUUCUCGGAUUGACGGUAGGUGGAGAAGAAGCACCGGCCAACUACGUGCCAGCAGCCGCGGUAAUACGUAGGGUGCGAGCGUUGUCCGGAAUUACUGGGCGUAAAGAGCUCGUAGGUGGUUUGUCGCGUUGUUCGUGAAAUCUCACGGCUUAACUGUGAGCGUGCGGGCGAUACGGGCAGACUAGAGUACUGCAGGGGAGACUGGAAUUCCUGGUGUAGCGGUGGAAUGCGCAGAUAUCAGGAGGAACACCGGUGGCGAAGGCGGGUCUCUGGGCAGUAACUGACGCUGAGGAGCGAAAGCGUGGGGAGCGAACAGGAUUAGAUACCCUGGUAGUCCACGCCGUAAACGGUGGGUACUAGGUGUGGGUUUUCUUCCUUGGGAUCCGUGCCGUAGCUAACGCAUUAAGUACCC
rnacentral:rRNA from 1 species